AACGCUGGCGGCGUGCUUAACACAUGCAAGUCGAACGGUGAUCYAUCAGYUUGYUGGUGGUGAUCAGUGGCGAACGGGUGAGUAACACGUGAGUAACCUGCCCYAGACUCUGGAAUAACCCCGGGAAACCGGAGCUAAUACCGGAUAUGACAUCAAACCGCAUGGUUAUGGUGUGGAAAGUUUUUCGGUCUGGGAUGGACUCGCGGCCUAUCAGYUUGUUGGUGAGGUAAUGGCUCACCAAGGCGACGACGGGUAGCCGGCCUGAGAGGGCGACCGGCCACACUGGGACUGAGACWCGGCCCAGACUCCUACGGGAGGCAGCAGUGGGGAAUAUUGCACAAUGGGCGAAAGCCUGAUGCAGCGACGCCGCGUGAGGGAUGACGGCCUUCGGGUUGUAAACCUCUUUCAGCAGGGAAGAAGCGCAAGUGACGGUACC
rnacentral:rRNA from 1 species